rnacentral:rRNA from 1 species
UACGGGGGGAGCAAGCGUUGUUCGGAUUUACUGGGCGUAAAGGGCGCGUAGGCGGUCGUGACAAGUCACUUGUGAAAUCUCCGGGCUUAACUCGGAAAGGUCAAGUGAUACUGUCGGACUAGAGUACAGAAGGGGCAACUGGAAUUCUCGGUGUAGCGGUGAAAUGCGUAGAUAUCGAGAGGAACACCUGCGGCGAAGGCGGGUUGCUGGGCUGAUACCGACGCUGAGGCGCGAAAGCUAGGGGAGCGAACGGG